CCUACGGGAGGCAGCAGUAGGGAAUAUUGCUCAAUGGGCGAAACCCUGAAGCAGCAACGCCGCGUGGAGGAUGAUGGUUUUCGGAUUGUAAACUCCUUUUGUUAGAGAAGAUAAUGACGGUAUCUAACGAAUAAGCACCGGCUAACUCCGUGCCAGCAGCCGCGGUAAUACGGAGGGUGCAAGCGUUACUCGGGAUCACUGGGCGUAAGGAGCGCGUAGGCGGGAUAGCAAGUCGCAUGUGAAAGCCUAUGGCUUAACCAUAGAACUGCAUUUGAAACUGUUAUUCUAGAGUACGGAUGAGGUGGGUGGAAUUCGUGGUGUAGGGGUAAAAUCCGUAGAGAUCAAGAGGAACACUCAUUGCGAAGGCGACUUGCUAGAACGUAACUGACGCUGAUGCGCGAAAGCGUGGGGAGCAAACAGGAUUAGAUACCCGAGUAGUC
rnacentral:rRNA from 1 species